rnacentral:sRNA from 1 species
UUCUCCGCUACGUCCCCUCGCGACUAAUGAAAAUCUUUAUUUACUACCUAGCAAUAAAAACUUUCAUUAGCCGCGCGAAUUGUCGUAACUAGAGAGACUAAAUAACAAUCACCACAUUAAAACAUAACGACUAAUAUUAAAAAUAGCACUUUCUAGUAGAAAAGGGGCCAACAGGCCCCUUUCC